GGCAGCACGGGUGCUUGCACCUGGUGGCGAGUGGCUAAUUGGCGAGUAAUAUAUCGGAAAGUACCUUAUUGUGGGGGAUAACGCAGCGAAAGCUGUGCUAAUACCGCAUAAUCCCUAAGGGGGAAAGCAGGGGACCGUAAGGCCUUGCGCAAUUAGAGCGGCCGAUACCUGAUUAGCUAGUUGGUGAGGUAAAGGCUCACCAAGGCAACGAUCAGUAGCUGGUCUGAGAGGACGAUCAGCCACACUGGGACUGAGACACGGCCCAGACUCCUACGGGAGGCAGCAGUGG
rnacentral:rRNA from 1 species